rnacentral:misc_RNA from 1 species
CACAUGUUAAGAGAUGGCUUGGAAAGUUCUCCUUCAGGUUUUGUUUGCACAAGUCUUCAAUGUUCUUUCCUGGCCUUCAUUUACCUUGCUUUGUCCCUUGUAUGCUUCGUUUUGGGCUAUGGAGAGUGAUUCGCUGGCCAAUAGUCAGCAAUGUCUGACUUUCUGGGUUCUUUUUGCUCUUCUUGCUAUUUUGGAGAAGGC